GACAAAUAAAUUGAUGGGAGAAAAUGAGUGUGAGAAACGGGAUGAAUUAGGAGCAGAGAUAACAACAAAAUACAUCGUAGAGACUAUUAAAUCAUUGAAAAGUGGAAAAACUCCUGGCCCGGACGGGUUUAGUAACAAAUUUUAUAAAAAAUGUAAUGAUUUAAUUUCUCCACGUUUACAAGCCCUUUAU